GGGGUCCCUAUGGGUCUGUAUGUGUCCCCAUGGCUCGGUCCCCGUCUGUGUGCGCAGCUGGAACCGGCUGAUCCCUAUGGCUCCCUAUGGGUCCCCAUGGCUCCCCACAGCUCCCUAUGGGUCUCUAUGGCUCUCUAUGGGUCCCCACGGCUCUCUAUGGGUCCCUAUGUGUCCCCAUGGCUCCCCAUGGCUCAGGCCCCGUCUGUGUGCCCAGCUGGAACCGGCUGAUCCCUAUGGCUCCCUAUGGGUCCCCACAGCUCCCCAUGGCUCUCUGUGGGUCCCUAUGGGUCUGUAUGUGUCCCCAUGGCUCAGACCCCGUCUGUGUGCGCAGCUGGAACCGGCUGAUCCCUAUGGCUCCC
rnacentral:lncRNA from 1 species